rnacentral:tRNA from 1 species
GAGUUUGUUUAAGGCCUAGCGAGAACUGCUAAUUCCUCGCUUCCAUGGCUCAAUUCCAUGGCUAACUCA